rnacentral:rRNA from 1 species
CCUACGGGCGGCAGCAGUAGGGAAUCUUUCACAAUGGGCGAAAGCCUGAUGGAGCAACGCCGCGUGCAGGAUGAAGGCCUUCGGGUUGUAAACUGCUUUUAUAAGCGAGAAAUAUGAUGGUAACUUAUGAAUAAGGAUCGGCUAACUACGUGCCAGCAGCCGCGGUCAUACGUAGGAUCCGAGCAUUAUCCGGAGUGACUGGGUGUAAAGAGUUGCGUAGGUGGCAUAAUAAGUAGCUUGUGAAAUCUGGUGGCUCAACCAUUCAGACUAUUAGCUAAACUGUUAAGCUCGAGACCGUUAGGGGUAACUGGAAUUUCUAGUGUAGGAGUGAAAUCCGUAGAUAUUAGAAGGAACACCAAUAGCGUAGGCAGGUUGCUGGGACGGUUCUGACACUAAGGCACGAAAGCGUAGGGAGCAAACGGGAUUAGAUACCCCUGUAGUC